rnacentral:rRNA from 1 species
UCGCCCAGUCGGUGGGGGAAUAACUAGACCGGUAAAGGUUAGCUAAUACCGCAUACGACCGAGAGGUAGAAAGGCGGGGGACCGCAAGGCCUCGCGCGAUUGGAUGAGCCGACGUCGGAUUAGCUAGUUGGUGGGGUAAAGGCCCACCAAGGCGACGAUCCGUAGCUGGUCUGAGAGGAUGAUCAGCCACACUGGAACUGAGACACGGUCCAGACUCCUACGGGAGGCAGCAGUGGGGAAUAUUGGACAAUGGGCGCAAGCCUGAUCCAGCAAUGCCGCGUGUGUGAAGAAGGCCUUCGGGUUGUAAAGCACUUUUAUCAGGAACGAAAAGCGUUGGAUUAAUACUCUGACGUGCUGACGGUACCUGAGGAAUAAGCACCGGCUAACUUCGUG